rnacentral:lncRNA from 1 species
CUACAUUCCAGGUUCUUCAAUUCCAACUAAAUCCAGGCUAGUGACUUUCUGAUGAGUUCUCAGUGAAUCUCCAAACCCGCCUUCAGCCUGAGUUUAAACUCACAAGGUGAGGAUCACAGACCGCCGGAAGGGUUGAGUAGCGGAAUGGACGGGCAGCAUAGCCAAUCGGAUUUUGGAAUUCUUCCGGAAGGGGCGGCACCCCGCCAUGUAAUUGACCCGACUGUACGGGAUUGGCGAGUCCGUAGCGGGCCAGUGGUGGCGGGAGAUUUCGGAAGUCUUGGCACCGGCCCUGGCUGCAGCGGUUGGGCUGGGCUGGGCUGAGCUGAGUUGAAGGCGCGAGUGGCUGAAUCGGGAAGGAGGACCCCCGAGGAUCCCCGAGCUUUCUGAUCGUGGCGUGCUGAGCUGUUGCCUUCUGUCCGAUCCCCGACCCGCAGACAGAGAUGGAGAGGCACAGGCCGCGGCUGCACCACCCGGCCCAGGGCUUCGCCGCCGGGGCCCCCUAUCCCUCCUCCGCCUCGCUCCGCAGCUGCCGGGAAAGCAAGAUGUCUCGCAGGAAGGGCCCUCAGCACCCUCCGCUGCUCGGCAGCCUCGAGGAGCCCGGGGGAGAAACGCUCCAAGUUUCAUUUAAAUAUUAGGAUACUGACGGAUGAUAUGGUAAGGUUAUCCUCCUCAUUUUCUUUGUUAUGAAUUUUAACUAACCAUAAAAUAUUGGUGCCAUGCUGUGCUAACACCUUUACAAUGAC